GACGAACGCUGGCGGCGUGCCUAAUACAUGCAAGUCGAACGCUUCUUUCCUCCCGAGUGCUUGCACUCAAUUGGAAAGAGGAGUGGCGGACGGGUGAGUAACACGUGGGUAACCUACCCAUCAGAGGGGGAUAACACUUGGAAACAGGUGCUAAUACCGCAUAACAGUUUAUGCCGCAUGGCAUAAGAGUGAAAGGCGCUUUCGGGUGUCGCUGAUGGAUGGACCCGCGGUGCAUUAGCUAGUUGGUGAGGUAACGGCUCACCAAGGCCACGAUGCAUAGCCGACCUGAGAGGGUGAUCGGCCACACUGGGGCUGAGACACGGCCCAGACUCCUACGGGAGGCAGCAGUAGGGAAUCUUCGGCAAUGGACGAAAGUCUGACCGAGCAACGCCGCGUGAGUGAAGAAGGUUUUCGGAUCGUAAAACUCUGUUGUUAGAGAAGAACAAGGACGUUAGUAACUGAACGUCCCCUGACGGUAUCUAACCAGAAAGCCACGGCUAACUACGUG
rnacentral:rRNA from 1 species